rnacentral:rRNA from 1 species
CUCAAAGAUUAAGCCAUGCAUGUAUCAGUACACGCCUUGACAAGGUGAAACCGCGAACGGCUCAUUAUAACAGCUAUAACUUACUAGACCUUGAGCAGUUACUCGGAUAACUGUGGUAAUUCUAGAGCUAAUACGUGCACCGAAGUUGUCCCUCACGGGGCAAUGCAUUUAUUUGAGCAAAACCAGGCGGCUUCGGCCGUUGCUGUUGAAUCAGAAUAACUAAGCUGAUCGUAUGGGCUUGUCCCGACGACGUGUCUUUCAAGUGUCUGCCUUAUCAACUUUCGAUGGUAGUGUACGUGACUACCAUGGUGUUGACGGGUAACGGAGGAUAAGGGUUCGACUCCGGAGAAGGGGCCUGAGAAAUGGCCACUACGUCUAAGGAUGGCAGCAGGCGCGCAAAUUACCCACUCUCGGUUCGAGGAGGUAGUGACGAAAAAUAACAAGGCCGUUCUCUUUGAGGCCGGCCAUUGGAAUGGGUACAAUCUAAACCCUUUAACGAGUAUCAAUGAGAGGGCAAGUCUGGUGCCAGCAGCCGCGGUAAUUCCAGCUCUCGAAAUGCAUAGAAUCAUUGCUGCGGUUAAAAAGCUCGUAGUUGGAUUUGUGCUGGCGACGUGGUCUGCCCUCGCGGGUGGUACUGCGCUCGUCGGCUUUGGGCCGGUCUCCGGGCGGUGGCCUUCACUGGUCGUCGUUCGUGGCUGGCUGGUUUACUUUGAGCAAAUCAGAGUGCUCAGCACAGGCGUCUCGCCGGAAUGUUCGUGCAUGGAAUAAUGGAAAAGGAUUUCGGUCCUCUUUUAUUGGUUUUGUGGACUGAGAUAAUGGUUAACAGAGACGGACGGGGGCAUUCGUAUUGCUGCGUGAGAGGUGAAAUUCUUGGACCGCAGCAGGACGGACUACAGCGAAAGCAUUUGCCAAGCACGUCUUCAUUARUCAAGAACGAAAGUCAGAGGUUCGAAGGCGAUCAGAUACCGCCCUAGUUCUGACCGUAAACGAUGCCAACUAGCGAUCCGCCGAUGGCCUCUCGGGCUUGGUGGGGAGCUUCCCGGAAACGAAAGUCUUCCGGUUCCGGGGGAAGUAUGGUUGCAAAGCUGAAACUUAAAGGAAUUGACGGAAGGGCACCACCAGGAGUGGAGCCUGCGGCUUAAUUUGACUCAACACGGGAAAACUCACCCGGCCCGGACACCGUAAGGAUUGACAGAUUGAUAGCUUUUUCAUGAUUCGGUGGUUUGGUGGUGCAUGGCCGUUCUUAGUUCGUGGAUCGAUUUGUCUGGUUUAUUCCGAUAACGAGCGAGACUCUAGCCUACUAACUAGUGCGCGCAUUGCCGCUGUGCGUGUCACUUCUUAGAGGGAUUGGCUGCGUUUAGCAGCACGAAAUUGAGCAAUAACAGGUCUGUGAUGCCCUUAGAUGUCCGGGGCUGCACGCGCGCUACACUGGCAAAGGCAGCGUGCUUGUCCGUCUCCGAAAGGAGUCGGUAAACCCUUGAAAAUUUGCCGUGAUUGGGAUCGGAAAUUGCAAUUAUUUUCCGUGAACGAGGAAUUCCAAGUAAGUGCGAGUCAUCAGCUCGCGUUGAUUACGUCCCUGCCCUUUGUACACACCGCCCGUCGCUGCCUAGAGCUGAGCCAUUUCGAGAAUAUUCGGGAUCGCUGGUCUUCGCCUCUCGGGGUGUUGGCCGGCACGAGAACGAACGUAAUCGCAGUGGCUUGAACCGGGC